CCUGUGGGCAAGGGCUGGGCUCUUGGAGGUAGGGGAGCUACAGGGGCGACUGGGAGGAGGAUGUUGUGUUACACACGCAUCAGAGUUAACUUUGCAGUGAGAGCGGCCUUGCUGCGGCCAAAGAACAUGGAAAAGCAUGAGUGGGGUGAUGUGCCUUAAAGCAUCAGACACUUGGGCCUCGGGCAUCAGGAGCCAGCCACAGGGAUGUCUGGGGAAAUGGCGUUCCAUGAGAUGCAAGCACACAAGAAUGCACUUGGCACAUCUGGGGAACAGCAGGCAGCUGAUAUCACUGGGCCCACCCCGCACCAGGGAGGAUGGAAGCAGGUGAGGAGCUAGACCACACUGAGGCGGUGGUCGGGACUCGGGGUUUGCUCAGUGAGCCGUUCACUAUGUGCAGGGGCAGUUCCCCGUCUGAAUUUAGGUGACGACACUCAGGUCCAGCCUUGCCAGUCUCAGCCUCCGGUCUCCGUUCCCCCUCUGCAGAGGCCACAUUGUCUGCUGCACGUGAUCAUGAGGGGUUGUGAAGUGCUUGCCCCAUCAGUAGCCAUGUGUGCAUGUGUAAAUACCAUCCUCUGUGUGCCCUGGAGGCUGUCCUUCAGAUAGCAUGUACAGGUGGCAGCAUAGGGCCUGUCCCUACUGAGAGUGCAGGGAACUCAGCACCGUCAACUCCUCGACCCUGCAGGUCAGAUUAUCCUUGUAGAGGCCCCCUGGAUGGCACCAAGAUCGGCCCUGGCAACAGGUAGAGCAGAGCCGGAGCCAGGUGCAGGCCAUUGGAGAGAAGGUCUCCUUGGCCCAGGCCAAGAUUGAGAAGAUCAAGGGCAGCAAGAAGGCCAUCAAGGUGUUCUCCAGUGCCAAGUACCCUGCUCCAGAGCGCCUGCAGGAAUAUGGCUCCAUCUUCACGGGCGCCCAGGACCCUGGCCUGCAGAGACGCCCCCGCCAC
rnacentral:lncRNA from 10 species